rnacentral:lncRNA from 1 species
ACUUGGCCGGAUGAAUCUAGACAUCAGCCGAAGGGUCACCUUGAGCAGAUCUGAUCUGAAGAGUUUAUUUUACCGCCUUUCAACAUUCUUAGUCAAGUUUGUUAUUUCCUAAGUGUUUUAGUUAUGUCUUGUUUUGACCUCAAGUAGUAUAAGUAUGUAAACUCUUUCUCAUAAUCAAUGAAUCGAUUUUCUUUCAAAGUUUAUGAGUUUAUCUUUUUGUUCUUCGCAUAGAACAGUCUUGUUUCUUGUCGAGUGAUUCUCCAAGUAAACAAAUCUUCCCUUGUUGGUUUUGACGUAACAUUCCAAGCAAUAAAAACGAAGCCGGUAGUAUCAAGAGGUCUUUCCGCAACCUUUUGUGUCGCCUUUCAAACCACCCAGGUCUCCCAUCUUUGGGGAGUUCAUAUCCAAAAUCCCGUUGAGUGAUCCUGUCCGAAUCUAGGACGUAUCACGAAGCCUGUCGAAAAGCAGAUCGAACUCAAUGAAGUUGUAGAAGGCUGGGAGAUCGUGGUCCACGAUGGUUCUGGCCACGACACUACUGCAUGGACUGAAGGCGGAUUGAGCGGUUCGCCGGUU